rnacentral:rRNA from 1 species
GUGUCCUACGGGGCGCAGCAGUGGGGAAUAUUGGGCAAUGGGCGCAAGCCUGACCCAGCAACGCCGCGUGAAGGAAGAAGGCUUUCGGGUUGUAAACUUCUUUUGUCUGGGACGAAGCAAGUGACGGUACCUGACGAAUAAGCCACGGCUAACUACGUGCCAGCAGCCGCGGUAAUACGUAGGUGGCAAGCGUUAUCCGGAUUUACUGGGUGUAAAGGGCGUGUAGGCGGGACUGCAAGUCAGAUGUGAAAGCCCGGGGCUCAACUCCGGGACUGCUUUUGAAACUGUUGAACUAGAUUGCAGGG